UGGGGAAUUUUGGACAAUGGGGGCAACCCUGAUCCAGCCAUCCCGCGUGUGCGAUGAAGGCCUUCGGGUUGUAAAGCACUUUUGGCAGGGAAGAAACAGCCUGGGAUAAUACCCCGGGCGACUGACGGUACCUGCAGAAUAAGCACCGGCUAACUACGUGCCAGCAGCCGCGGUAAUACGUAGGGUGCAAGCGUUAAUCGGAAUUACUGGGCGUAAAGCGUGCGCAGACGGUUCGGAAAGAAAGGUGUGAAAUCCCAGGGCUUAACCUUGGAACUGCACUUUAACUACCGAGCUAGAGUACGUCAGAGGGGGGUAGAAUUCCACGUGUAGCAGUGAAAUGCGUAGAGAUGUGGAGGAAUACCGAUGGCGAAGGCAGCCCCCUGGGAUGAUACUGACGCUCAUGCACGAAAGCGUGGGGAGCAAACAGGAUUAGAUACCCUGGUAGUCCACGCCCUAAACGAUGUCAACUAGCUGUUGGGGUUUAUUAACCUUAGUAACGUAGCUAACGCGUGAAGUUGACCGCCUGGGGGAGUACGGUCGCAA
rnacentral:rRNA from 1 species